AUGGCCGACGCGGGUCAAAGGGUAGUAUCUGUUAUUAUCAGCUUAAUAUCUGUUACAGGUUGUAUUUGGACCCAAGAUAUUGCAAGACCCAAGAGUUUUUGCAAGUUGGCGGAGUGCUUGAAGCCUGCUUCACCUCCGUCGCAGCUCGGCCCGGUUUUGCACUAUCUUUGGGAUCGGCCCACGGGGA